UCUCUAUCUAUCUCUCCCACAAUCCUCCCUCACUCUUCAGGUCUUCUCUGAAAUCAACUUUCAACAGUGGUAAUUCUAAUGGUAAUGUAUACUCAUUUCAAUUACAAUUCGAUGUUUUAUUCUUUUCAAUUUAUCUUAAUACAAUUGUUAUGUUUGUCUCUUAAGAUGUGAUGUGUGUUGUGGAUGGAAAAUUUCUAGGAGACAAACAUAAGUGUAUCAAUUUCUACCUUCAUUGCAAUAACAAUAAAUUAUGUAAAUCCUGCAAAAAAUUUGGUCACAUAGAUCAUCGAGUAAUCCAAAUCGGUGUUGUUUGAUUUGACAGGAAGAUCUAUGUGAUAUGUCAAUGAUCUAUACGUUUUCGAGUUAAAGUUUUCAUAAUUUUAUUUUUGUUAAAUCAAGCAGGUUUAAUUCUCUUUUUUUACUUGCAAUUGCAAAUCAUAUAUGGAUAUUGUCUUAUAAUUAAGUUUUUCAUACCACUUUCAAUUGCAAGCUUGUAGACAUCCUUACAAUUUUUUUUUGUGGUGGCCGGGAUUUGAACCCCAGACCUUGCAUAUCAACUGAGAUAAGCUCACAAAGACAGAUAUAUCAUUGAGAUAUCAUAUAAAUCUAGCUAUCAAACUAAACAACACCUACUUGGAUUACUCGAUGAUUUUUGUGACCUGAUUUUAUGCAACAUCUACAUAAGACAUUAUCAGUGCAAUCAAGGCAGAACUUGUUACAUUCAUUUCGAAGACAUUUUGGUGGACUUCGCAUGUUGUGAAGAAUGUGAUGAUGGCUAGAAAUUUUUUCAGCCAGGUCACACAUAUCAUAUCUUAAAGACAAACACAACAAAUGUAAUAAUAAAAAUUUAAAAAG
rnacentral:lncRNA from 1 species